rnacentral:rRNA from 1 species
GACGAACGCUGGCGGCGUGCUUAACACAUGCAAGUCGAACGGAAAGGCCCUGCUUUUGUGGGGUGCUCGAGUGGCGAACGGGUGAGUAACACGUGAGUAACCUGCCCUUGACUUUGGGAUAACUUCAGGAAACUGGGGCUAAUACCGGAUAGGAGCUCCUGCUGCAUGGUGGGGGUUGGAAAGUUUCGGCGGUUGGGGAUGGUCUCGCGGCUUAUCAGCUUGUUGGUGGGGUAGUGGCUUACCAAGGCUUUGACGGGUAGCCGGCCUGGGAGGGUGACCGGCCACAUUGGGACUGAGAUACGGCCCAGACUCCUACGGGAGGCAGCAGGGGGGAAUAUUGCACAAUGGGCGGAAGCCUGAUGCAGCAACGCCGCGUGCGGGAUGACGGCCUUCGGGUUGUAAACCGCUUUCGCCUGUGACGAAGCGUGAGUGACGGUAAUGGGUAAAGAAGCACCGGCUAACUACGUG